GACGCACGCUGGCGGCGUUCUUAACACAUGCAAGUCGAACGGAAAGGCCCUGCUUUUGUUUGUUGCUCGAUUGGCGACCGGGUGAGUAACACGUGAGUAACCUACCCUUUACUUUGAGAUAACUUCAGGAAACUUUUUCUAAUACCGGAUAGGAGCUCCUGCUUCAUGGUGGGUGUUGGAAAGGUUCGGCGGUUGGGGAUUGACUCGCGGCUUAUCAGCUUGUUGUUGGGCUAGUGGCUUACCAAGGCUUUGACGGCUAGCCGGCCUGAGAGGGUGACCGGCCACAUUGGGACUGAGCUAUGCCACAGACUCCUACUGGCGGCAGCAGUGGGGACUAUUGCACCCUGGGCGGAAGUCAGACGCACGCACGCCGUGUGUGGGAUGACGGCCGUCGGGUUGUAAACCGCCUUGGACUGAGACGAAGCGUGAGUGACGGUAAUGGGUAAAGAAGCACCGGCUACCUACGUG
rnacentral:rRNA from 1 species